AGAGUUUGAUCCUGGCUCAGAUUGAACGCUGGCGGCAUGCCUAACACAUGCAAGUCGAACGGAAACGAUGGAAGCUUGCUUCCAGGCGUCGAGUGGCGGACGGGUGGGUAAUACUUAGGAAUCUGCCCAGUAGUGGGGGACAACUCGAGGAAACUCGAGCUAAUACCGCAUACGCCCUACGGGGGAAAGCGGAGGACUCUUCGGAGCUUCGCGCUAUUGGAUGAGCCUAAGUCGGAUUAGCUUGUUGGUGAGGUAAAAGCUCACCAAGGCGACGAUCCGUAGCUGGUCUGAGAGGACGAUCAGCCACACUGGGACUGAGACACGGCCCAGACUCCUACGGGAGGCAGCAGUGGGGAAUAUUGGACAAUGGGGGCAACCCUGAUCCAGCAAUGCCGCGUGUGUGAAGAAGGCCUGCGGGUUGUAAAGCACUUUCAGUAGAGAAGAAAAGCCUACGGUUAAUACCCGUGGGUCUUGACGUAACCUACAGAAGAAGCUCCGGCUAACUCCGUGCCAGCAGCCGCGGUAAUACGGAGGGAGCGAGCGUUAAUCGGAAUUACUGGGCGUAAAGCGCGCGUAGGCGGCUUUGUAAGUCGGAUGUGAAAGCCCCGGGCUCAACCCGGGAAUUGCAUUCGAUACUGCAGAACUAGAGUAUGGUAGAGGGAAGUGGAAUUUCCGGUGUAGCGGUGAAAUGCGUAGAUA
rnacentral:rRNA from 1 species